ensembl:lncRNA
UUGCAGGAGAGGGUCCAAAAUGCGUGCACGUGGUGUAGUUUGCACUUAGUGGAAAUGCAAAUUGGAUUGGCACAUCCUGGCAGAGCUAAAGUUGCCAAUGGAAAAAAAAAGUCUCAGCAGGGGAGAAUGACUGACAGUGCUCCAUAGAGAGCUGUUUGGAGAUGUAGAAACUGGAGAAAAAAAACCUCUGCAGCAAUAAACAGGAUAAGAGACGUAGCAGAAGGCCCUGUCUCUCCCUUACCUGCUGGGAUGAACGUGAUACAGUGUAACACUCCCACACUCCACCCACAACGGCAACGGCCUCUGCCUCCGGCACGGAACCGGCCCCGACCCGGCCCAAACCAGGCCCUGGUAUCGCCCUCCCCCUCGUUACCGUGGCAGCGAGUGAUUGAGUGCACUGGUGCCCAAUCGUCCAUCAGAACCUUAAGGUUAAAACGCCCCCUAACAGCCAUACAGAUGGUGCCUGUGGGCCAGGCGACAGCGCUCAGGCUGUGUGUGUGUGUGUGUGUGUGUGUGUGUGUGUGUGUGUGUGUAUGUGUGUGUGU